rnacentral:rRNA from 1 species
UCUAAGGACGAAGCCGCAUCCGAAACGAGACAUUUAGGGUGGGGAUAUUACAUCCCUUUGAUAGGGCGGGCGUGUAAGCAGCGAGCUUCGGCGAGCUGUGAGCGCACCGCAACUAAAUCCUUACAAACUUUUAG